AGCGUACACGGUGGAUGCCCUGGCAGUCAGAGGCGAUGAAGGACGUGCUAAUCUGCGAAAAGCGUCGGUAAGGUGAUAUGAACCGUUAUAACCGGCGAUGUCCGAAUGGGGAAACCCAGUGCAAUUCGUUGCACUAUCGUUAACUGAAUACAUAGGUUAACGAGGCGAACCGGGGGAACUGAAACAUCUAAGUACCCCGAGGAAAAGAAAUCAACCGAGAUUCCCCCAGUAGCGGCGAGCGAACGGGGAGCAGCCCAGAGUCUGAAUCAGCUUGUGUGUUAGUGGAACGGUCUGGAAAGUCCGACGGUACAGGGUGAUAGUCCCGUACACCAAAAUGCACAGGCUGUGAACUCGAAGAGUAGGGCGGGACACGUGGUAUCCUGUCUGAAUAUGGGGGGACCAUCCUCCAAGGCUAAAUACUCCUGACUGACCGAUAGUGAACCAGUACCGUGAGGGAAAGGCGAAAAGAACCCCGGCGAGGGGAGUGAAAAAGAACCUGAAACCGUGUACGUACAAGCAGUGGGAGCACCUUCGGGUGUGACUGCGUACCUUUUGUAUAAUGGGUCAGCGACUUAUAUUCUGUAGCAAGGUUAACCGUAUAGGGGAGCCGCAGGGAAACCGAGUCUUAACUGGGCGUUAAGUUGCAGGGUAUAGACCCGAAACCCGGUGAUCUAGCCAUGGGCAGGUUGAAGGUUGGGUAACACUAACUGGAGGACCGAACCGACUAAUGUUGAAAAAUUAGCGGAUGACUUGUGGCUGGGGGUGAAAGGCCAAUCAAACCGGGAGAUAGCUGGUUCUCCCCGAAAGCUAUUUAGGUAGCGCCUCGUGAAUUCAUCUUCGGGGGUAGAGCACUGUUUCGGCUAGGGGGUCAUCCCGACUUACCAACCCGAUGCAAACUACGAAUACCGAAGAAUGUUAUCACGGGAGACACACGGCGGGUGCUAACGUCCGUCGUGAAGAGGGAAACAACCCAGACCGCCAGCUAAGGUCCCAAAGUCAUGGUUAAGUGGGAAACGAUGUGGGAAGGCACAGACAGCCAGGAUGUUGGCUUAGAAGCAGCCAUCAUUUAAAGAAAGCGUAAUAGCUCACUGGUCGAGUCGGCCUGCGCGGAAGAUGUAACGGGGCUAAACCAUGCACCGAAGCUGCGGCAGCGACACUAUGUGUUGUUGGGUAGGGGAGCGUUCUGUAAGCCUGCGAAGGUGNUGCUGGAGGUAUCAGAAGUGCGAAUGCUGACAUAAGUAACGAUAAAGCGGGUGAAAAGCCCGCUCGCCGGAAGACCAAGGGUUCCUGUCCAACGUUAAUCGGGGCAGGGUGAGUCGACCCCUAAGGCGAGGCCGAAAGGCGUAGUCGAUGGGAAACAGGUUAAUAUUCCUGUACUUGGUGUUACUGCGAAGGGGGGACGGAGAAGGCUAUGUUAGCCGGGCGACGGUUGUCCCGGUUUAAGCAUGUAGGCUGGUUAUCCAGGCAAAUCCGGAUAAUCAAGGCUGAGGUGUGAUGACGAGGCACUACGGUGCUGAAGUAACAAAUGCCCUGCUUCCAGGAAAAGCCUCUAAGCAUCAGGUAACAUUAAAUCGUACCCCAAACCGACACAGGUGGUCAGGUAGAGAAUACCAAGGCGCUUGAGAGAACUCGGGUGAAGGAACUAGGCAAAAUGGUGCCGUAACUUCGGGAGAAGGCACGCUGGUGUGUAGGUGAAGUCCCUGCGGAUGGAGCUGAGACCAGUCGAAGAUACCAGCUGGCUGCAACUGUUUAUUAAAAACACAGCACUGUGCAAACACGAAAGUGGACGUAUACGGUGUGACGCCUGCCCGGUGCCGGAAGGUUAAUUGAUGGGGUUAUCCGUAAGGAGAAGCUCUUGAUCGAAGCCCCGGUAAACGGCGGCCGUAACUAUAACGGUCCUAAGGUAGCGAAAUUCCUUGUCGGGUAAGUUCCGACCUGCACGAAUGGCGUAAUGAUGGCCAGGCUGUCUCCACCCGAGACUCAGUGAAAUUGAACUCGCUGUGAAGAUGCAGUGUACCCGCGGCAAGACGGAAAGACCCCGUGAACCUUUACUAUAGCUUGACACUGAACAUUGAGCCUUGAUGUGUAGGAUAGGUGGGAGGCUUUGAAGCGUGGACGCCAGUCUGCGUGGAGCCAACCUUGAAAUACCACCCUUUAAUGUUUGAUGUUCUAACGUUGGCCCCUGACCGGGGUUGCGGACAGUGUCUGGUGGGUAGUUUGACUGGGGCGGUCUCCUCCCAAAGCGUAACGGAGGAGCACGAAGGUUAGCUAAUCCUGGUCGGACAUCAGGAGGUUAGUGCAAUGGCAUAAGCUAGCUUGACUGCGAGCGUGACGGCGCGAGCAGGUGCGAAAGCAGGUCAUAGUGAUCCGGUGGUUCUGAAUGGAAGGGCCAUCGCUCAACGGAUAAAAGGUACUCCGGGGAUAACAGGCUGAUACCGCCCAAGAGUUCAUAUCGACGGCGGUGUUUGGCACCUCGAUGUCGGCUCAUCACAUCCUGGGGCUGAAGUAGGUCCCAAGGGUAUGGCUGUUCGCCAUUUAAAGUGGUACGCGAGCUGGGUUUAGAACGUCGUGAGACAGUUCGGUCCCUAUCUGCCGUGGGCGCUGGAGAAUUGAGGGGGGCUGCUCCUAGUACGAGAGGACCGGAGUGGACGCAUCACUGGUGUUCGGGUUGUCAUGCCAAUGGCACUGCCCGGUAGCUAAAUGCGGAAGAGAUAAGUGCUGAAAGCAUCUAAGCACGAAACUUGCCCCGAGAUGAGUUCU
rnacentral:rRNA from 1 species